GAUGAACGCUAGCUACAGGCUUAACACAUGCAAGUCGAGGGACCGGCGCACGGGUGAGUAACACGUAUCCAACCUGCCCUUUACUCGGGGAUAGCCUUUCGAAAGAAAGAUUAAUACCCGAUAUAAAGGAUGGGGAUGCGUUCCAUUAGGUUGUUGGUGAGGUAACGGCUCACCAAGCCUUCGAUGGAUAGGGGUUCUGAGAGGAAGGUCCCCCACAUUGGAACUGAGAGACGGCCCAAACUCCUACGGGAGGCAGAAGUGAGGAAUAUUGGUCAAUGGGUGCUAGCCUGAACCAGCAUAGUAGCGUGAAGGAUGAAGGUUUAUGGGUCUUUAUCUUCUUUUAUAUAAGAUUAUGUAUUAUAUGAAUAAGGAUCGGCUAACUCCGGGCCAGCAGCGGCGGGAAUAC
rnacentral:rRNA from 1 species